AAUGAACGCUGGCGGCGUGCUUAACACAUGCAAGUCGCACGAGAACUCUUCUGCUUGCAGAAGAUAGUAAAGUGGCGCACGGGUGAGUAACGCGUGGGUAAUCUACCUCCGAAUCGGGGAUAACCCGCCGAAAGGCGAGCUAAUACCGGAUAAUAUCUUUGAAACAUCGGUUUUUUGGAUCAAAGGUGGCCUCUACAUGUAAGCUACUGUUUGGAGAUGAGCCCGCGUACCAUUAGCUUGUUGGUAGGGUAAUGGCCUACCAAGGCUUCGAUGGUUAGCUGGUCUGAGAGGAUGAUCAGCCACACUGGAACUGACACACGGUCCAGACUCCUACGGGAGGCAGCAGUGAGGAAUUUUGCGCAAUGGGGGAAACCCUGACGCAGCAACGCCGCGUGAGUGAUGAAGGCCCUUGGGUCGUAAAGCUCUGU
rnacentral:rRNA from 1 species